rnacentral:lncRNA from 1 species
UUUCAAGAGAGGAGACAAGUUUCUUUCGUUUUUUAUAUAAUUGAGUAAUCCUGAGCAAUUCCAUUCUUUGAUUUCGAGAACAAGUAACGGAAUAAGAUCAGAAGCCGGGUAAGCUCAAGUAAGCUCAAGUAAGCUCCAUUGAGAUACCAGCAAGGCAAAAGUACGACAUUUGAAGCCUAGAAACCAGGUACUUUAUUCGGAGAGCCGGAGAGCAAGGCUAUUAUUAUACAUAUUUGUUUCAUUCUCACUUUGGAGUUUAGAGCGAAGGGUGGGUAACAUCAUGAUAGUUGUAUUUGUUGACGGCAGGUAAAGGUAAUAUGAGUUUCUAGUUUCCGUUUCAUAAUGGAAUGUUUGACUUGCG